UGUUAGUUUUGGUACAGAGCCAUAAGAUUAAUGAAAUGAACUUUCCGGCAGUUUCUCAAAGUUUUGAGGUCUAAAAUAAUUAAGAAAAGUAAUUUUAGACUUAAGUUUAUGAUUGGGAUUCAUUACGACGGGUAGUGAUUCACCUUAAUUUUUUCAUUUACUUGUUGCAGAUGUCCAUCCAGUUGCUAUAGGUAAUCCAAGCAAUCACAACUCAAAAGGCUGAAUGUCCUUGUGGAGACAUCAAAGCAGAAAAAUCUACAAAGAAUUAUUUCUUCGCAACGGUGAAUCUUCACGCUCCACAGAUCAAAAGGAAGAGAAAAAGAAUUUGGCGACCCGAAGAUAUACAUUGUUAGAGUGACAAGCUGACUAUCCCUCAGCAGAAGCCGCGAGAGAAUGUGGCUCCAUCGGAAGUAGAUGCAGGCCGAGAGAAAACUCACUUUUCAAACUCUUGGAAGUCAUUGUCUUUCGGGCUUGCCAUACAGUAGAUUGUCAUGGCAACGCAACCUGCUGGUGUUACAAAGAGUUUAAAAUGUUGAAAGGCAGCUGAACUGACUAGAGUAAAGAGCAACAGAAUAAACAGUAUUUUGAUUCAUUUCGACGGUUACAAAAAAAAGACCAUGAAUACGGCAUUGUCAGAGCUUUUCUAAAUCUGAUUCACCAUAUCAUAACCCCUAGGAAGAAGAAAACAUCAAUAUCGCGAAAGGAAAGAAGAUGUUUCUAUGGAAAACCUAGGAAUUUACUCCAUAACAGAUCUGGUGAAAAAUCAAAGAGAUCAAAGCGAACGCUCCUGGGAGUUAGAUGCGGCUCUGAAUCAAAGAUGUACGAGGUGGACUCCAAAGUGGCUGGCUUCAUUUCAAGUCUGAAUCCCAAUUUCAAGGGAAAUGCUGUCGAAACUUCAACCCACCACCCGCCUCCCCCCACUCUCCAAAUCAGUCAAAACCAACACUUCAGCAGGUGCUGAUGAAGGCAUAAACAUCGCAUCAGUCUGGCCAAUGUGCACGCAUGACAUUCAAAUAACAGUGUUAGAGCCUUUACAUUAUUACCACUUUGUUCUGCAAAUGCAUAUUAAUGAAAAAGAGAAAUAACAAACAGAACGACACAUUCCCCAGACACCACUGCAGAUAAAGCAUAACAAUUUAACAGGAAUACUGUACUGUAACUUUAAAAAAAGAUAACCCUGUCUUUGACAUGAGCCUGCAGCGGAUGAAUGGAAAGCCAAGU